UGAUAGUCACACACACACAGAGAGAGAGAGAGAGAGAGAGAGGCAGAGACACAGGCAGAGGGAGAAGCAGGCUCCAUGCACUGGGAGCCCGAUGUGGGAUUCGAUCCCAGGUCUCCAGGAUUGUGCCCUGGGCCAAAGGCAGGCGCCAAACUGCUGCGCCACCCAGGGAUCCUGAAAAUAGAGUUUAUUUUGAAGACUAAAGAGAAAAUAAAAAUAUGUCAUAAUUUCAAAAGCAAUUAGCGGAGCACAUGACAAAUUCUAAGUACUCAAAAUUAUUACCUGGGUCCUGGGGAAAGCAGAAGCCUGCUUUAAAUCUGAAGCCCACUACAGGGGAAAGAAAAGAUUCUCUGGACAGUCACUAAAGUUGGGGUGUUGACGCAACAGUCAACAAAAUGCCUAUUACACUGUGAGUUGUUUGAUAAACUAAAAGGCCAGCAUAUCUACCUCACCUUUUGACCAAUUCCCAGAAACAAGUUCUAUAGCAGUCUUUUUCCACUUAAGUUGUCAGGCUGACCCCUUUGAUCAAGCCUCAUGCUAGUGAUUUUCUUAGUUGCCUGACAUAAAUCCUGAGUACAAAUUCUAUUAACUAGACUCCUUAAUGUAAAGCUGGAACACAUCUUACCAAUCUAAAUAAACUGGCCAAUUAAAGUAAGGGUUCCAGAGAAAUGAUUCUUAAUCAAGAGUGGGUACCAGUCCAGAAACUCCCAAGAUUGGUAGAAUAGGGAUUUAUAGUUUGAAAGUCACAUUCAAUAUAAUAAUAUAAUUGUAUAUGAGAAAGAAAUAACUUGUUUUUAUAGUACAAACUUGAGAAACAGCAAGAUAAAACAUUCUUAGCUGGUGAAGAUGGAGGUUGGAUAAAAUAGACCUGAGAGAGAGUUUGUGAGAAUGGAGAAGAGGUAUGAGAUUAGGUUUCUUAAAAAGAAGUAAUGAAUUUUGAAAGAUCAAGGAAACUGUUCUACACGAAAGGUGCUUGGAGGUUCUUGAUUAGAUGGGUAGCUGGUGUUUUGUGAGGUGGCUCUCUGCAGAAGCUGAUGAACCAUACUUGACACUAAAGGAACAUUCUCUGAAACAGUUCUAUGAAGACCAUUAGGCUACUUAAUAUAGAGAUUAUUGCAUGACAUCAUACAGUGCCCUUGCAGUGAGGUCCCAGGAGAGAAAUUUCUUGGUCCUUGGGUAUCAUUAUAACGUUUUUUGUUGUUAAUUCCAUUUUAUGCCCAUUCCAUAUGGCACAGAAAUCACGGUUUCCCUCUUUACAUUAGCGCCUAAGGAGGUGAGAAUUAACACCAUGGAUCUCCUCCAGCAGACAGCAGAAUUGUUUGAUGUGUCUUGUGGGCACUAACCUCGUCUCUGACUUCAUCCUUUUUUCUUCCCACACUGACUUCAACCUUAGAUUCUUCAAUUAUUUUGUAUCUUAUCAUAUAGUACUAGAUGUAUCUUUGUGAGCUGCUCCAAAUCCUUUUUGGAACAAAUCCUUUUGGAACAAUUUAUUAAUAAAUAAAUCUAAAAUGGGCAAAGCCCUAUAAAAGGACUAGAAGAUACACAAGGAUGAACCAGAGGUUGGCUUUGUCUUACCGCCUUCAAGGAACUGGUCAGGGUAUGGGACACACAUAAGACAGAUCACUCUGAGGGCACUGUUAAAGAGGACACAAAGUCCAGGCAACACUGUGUGGGAAGCACUAUACACUCAAGAGUUUAGCUGAGAAUUAAGAAACAGUCUUUUUUCGAGCUCUCUAUGUAUCUAUCACUCCACUUAUGGUUCUAUGUGGAAGAAAACGACUUACAUGUUGCCCUGGAUAAGGCACUGAGUUCCUAGCAGUUCCUUGUAUCUUUGUAUCCCCAGGGGCUAGCCCAAAAUCUGGCACAGAGUAGAUGCUCAAUAAAAGCAUCUGCUGAAUAAGUUUUCAGCAGGUAUAGGAGUGAGCAGGCACUCUGGGCAAAGUGACCAGCAUAAGUGAAGAUUAGGUGUCUGUACAGUGUGACCAAUGUCAAGGGUACAAGAAUAUGGAUUCUGUUGAGAGCUGAGGCUGGAAAAAAUUCUAAGGAUCUGGAAUGCUACAUGACAUCUAGAAGGCAUUGUCCUUUUUUUUUUUUUUUUUGUUCCCCUAACUCCUACAUAUUCUAGUCUUUAAUAUUUCUUGGUUACACAGAAUUCCUUCUACACCCAGGUUCACCAAUACUUGUGUGCAAAGGGUCAUAUUUGUUGUUUAUUUCUAAAAGUCUAUCUGAUAUUACUUAGUUCUAGUAAGGGAGAAUUGUAACAAAAAUAUACCUUGCCAGGAAACAGUCUGAAUAGGCUGUCCCAACUGAUGGAGCAUCUUGAGGAAGGUAGACAAUCUACUGAGUCAGCUACAAUCAGCUGGAUCAUUCUAGAAGCUCAAUAAAAUGAUAAAUGUUAUAAGAAAGGUGUCCUCAGAUGCUGAGAUAAUCCCACACAUUGUUCUUAGGUGCUGUAUGGACUUGGUAACACACUAAAGCAAAUGACCAAGCAAUGCAUUUAAGGAUCACAGAGCCUUUAUUCCUUUUUCUUCUUUUAAAGAUUUAUUUAUGAGAGAGAGAGAGGGGGAGAGAGAGAGAGAGAGAGAGAGAGAGAGAGAGAAAAUCUCCAACAGAC
rnacentral:lncRNA from 1 species